GGUAUUGGAAAAAAAAGAAAUAUUCUUUCCGGCACGAGAAGGCUCAGAACUUCUAUUUGCCAUUGAAGAUUGUAGGCAAGUAGGACUAUUGGAAGAGUCUAAUUUGAAGACUUUUGAAAGAGAAUUCUUGAACAAGAAUGAUUAUGCCUAUUUUGAACUGACAAGAUGACAAUUGAUUACUGUCAAGUUCAGAAUUCAGAACGGUAACAAAUUUUUGAAUUUUUACCAUUGGACAAUCG
rnacentral:lncRNA from 1 species